UACGUAGGAGGCGAGCGUUGUCCGGAGUUACUGGGCGUAAAGGGCUCGUAGGCGGCCAACUAAGUCAGACGUGAAAUCCCCAGGCUCAACCUGGGAACUGCGUCUGAUACUGGAUGGCUUGAAUUCGGGAGAGGGAUGCAGAAUUCCAGGUGUAGCGGUGAAAUGCGUAGAUAUCUGGAGGAAUACCGGUGGCGAAGGCGGCAUCCUGGACCGACAUUGACGCUGAUGAGCGAAAGCUAGGGGAGCAAACGGG
rnacentral:rRNA from 1 species